rnacentral:sRNA from 1 species
AGCAGCCGCGGUAAUUCCAGCUCCAAUAGCGUAUAUUAAAGUUGUUGCAGUUAAAAAGCUCGUAGUUGAAUUUCGGGGUUAGUAGGUUGGUCAUGCCUCUGGUAUGUACUGGUCUCACUGAUUCCUCCUUCCUGAUGAACCUUAAUGCCAUUAAUUUGGUGUUUUGGGGAAUUUGGACUGUUACUUUGAAAAAUUAGAGUGUUUAAAGCAAGCUAACGCUUGAAUACAUUAGCAUGGAAUAAUGAAAUAGGACGUUCGAUCCUAUUUUGUUGGUUUCUAGGAUUGACGUAAUGAUUAAUAGGGAUAGUUGGGGGCAUUAGUAUUCAAUUGUCAGAGGUGAAAUUCUUGGAUUUAUUGAAGACUAACUACUGCGAAAGCAUUUGCCAAGGAUGUUUUCAUUAAUCAAGAACGAAAGUUAGGGGAUCGAAGACGAUCAGAUACCGUCGUAGUCUUAACCAUAAACUAUGCCGACUAGGGAUCGGAUGAUGUUAAUUUUUUAAUGUACUCAUUCGGCGCCUUA